GGGGAUUUAGCUCAGUGGUAGGGCGCUUGCCUAGCAAGCACAAGGCCCUGGGUUCGGUCCCCAGCUCCG
rfam:Rattus norvegicus chromosome 1, whole genome shotgun sequence.